UAUAUAUUGGAUGGCAUAUUGAGGUAACAAUAGCAUAUGGACGUAUAUUUACGAAAAGCCUUUAAAAUAAUUACUUAAAGGAUUUCCAAACUCUUAUAAAUAAGUAUAAUGAGCAUAACAAAGUGAACUGAAACAUCUAAGUAACUUGUAAAGAAAUCAAACGAGAAUUUUUUAGUAGUGGUGAGCGAAAAAAAAAAAAAAUGUUAAAAAUUUUAUAUACAUUCACGGUUAUUGAAUAAUGUUAAAACAUAGCAAAAUAAGGUAAAAGUCCUGUAAAUAACUAAAAAUAAGCGCUAAAAGUAAAUAGGUAGCAAAACUUAUUGAAAACAGGGGUACCACCCUCUAAGCCUUUAAAUAUUGUUAACCGAAAGUGAACUAGUACCGUGAGGGAAAAAUUGAAAGAGAAAUUUGAAAAAAAUUAAUAAUUAACAUAAAAUCCGAUAUAAAAAAGCAGUUGAUGACAAGCAUUGUUAACAACGUACCUUUUGUAUAAUGGGUCAGCAACUAAAUAAAUUUAGCAAGCUUAAAUAUGUAGGCACUAUUAACAUUAUUUAGUUAAAUUUAUUUUACCCGAAACCAAGUGAUCUAUCUAUAAGCAGGUUGAAAAAUCUAAAAAAUUAGGAGGACCGAACCCGUGUCUGUUGCAAAAGACUGGGACGACUUGUGGAUAGGGGUGAAAGGCUAAUCAAACUUGGAGAUAGCUGGUUUUCCGCGAAAUCUAUUUAGGUAGGGCAUUAAAAUAUAACUAUUAUGGGUAGAGCACUUAUUAAACUAAGGGAUUAACAUCUACUGAAUUUUUUAAAACUCCGAAUAAUAAUAAUUUAUUUUAAUAGACAGACAAUGGGUGCUAAGGUCCAUAGUCGAAAGGGUAACAGCCCAGAUAGCAAGUUAAGGUCCCAAAAUAAAAGCUAAGUGUAAAUGAUGUAAAAGUAUGGAUACAACCAAAAGGUAAGCUUAGAAGCAGCUAUCCUUUAAAGAAAGCGUAAAAGCUCAUUGGUCUAAUGUAUUUUUGCACAAAAAAUAAAAAGGGUCUAAGCUUUUUACCGAAACUGCUAGAGUAUUUCUCGGUAGCGGAACUAAUUUGUCACAAAGAAAAAUUAUUAAAAAAUAAUUUGGAGAGACAAAUUCUGAUAAUGCUGACAUGAGUAGCUAAAAAUAAAGUAAAAACUUUAUCAUCUAAAAUCAUAUGGUUUAUACAAUAAGUUAAGCUAUUGUGUAGUAAGACGGCCCCUAAGGUAUAUUGCGAAAGGAGUAGCCGAUGGGUUAGGGUUCUAUUAAAAGUGACAAAUAGUAUAGAAGAAGCAUUAAACUUAAAUGUUGAAACAAUUAUACUAUAUCUGGAAAUAGCUUAAUUAAAGUGACCGUUCAAAAACCGACUCAGGUUGACUAAUGUAAAAGCAUGAAGAUGUUAGAAAUAAUUAUGUUGAAGGAACUCGGCAAAAUAACUUCGUAACUUUGGAAUAAGAAGUAUCCUUAAUGGAUGACACAUAAUAGGGGGUAGCGACUGUUUAACAAAAACACAGGACUCUGCUAAAUCGUAAGAUGACGUAUAGGGUCUGACACCUGCCCGGUGCUGAUAGGUGAAAAAAUAAUGUGCAAGCUUUAUUUAUAAACCCCAGUAAACGGCGGCCGUAACCAUAACGGUCCUAAGGUAGCGAAAUUCCUUGGCGGGUAAGUUCCGUCCUGCACGAAUGGUGUAACGACUUCCCUACUGUCUCCAACAUAAAUUCUGUGAAAUUGAAUUCUCCGUGAAGAUGCGGAGUACCUGCGGCUAGACGGGAAGACCCCGUGCACCUUUACUACAACUUUUCAUUACGUAGAAAAAAGUGUUAUAUAGAAUAGAUGGGAGUUUAAAAGUAUUAUGCGCUAGCUUAAAACUUUUCACAUAUUUUGCGUAAAACUUAAAUGUAAUACCAUCUAACACUUUUUUCGAAGUUUACUAUAUUUUUAGGACAGUGAAUGGAUGGUAGUUUGACUGGGGCGGUCGCCUCCUAAAAUGUAACGGAGGCGUACAAAGGUAAGUUCAAGCUAAAUUGAAACUAGCUUAAGAGUGCAACGGCAAUACUUACUUUACUAUAAGGCAAACAAGCCAAAUAGUUGUUAAAAGCAAGUCGUAGUGAUCCGGUAACACUUUGUGGAAAGGUUAUCGCUCAACGGAUAAAAGGUACGCCGGGGAUAACAGGCUAAUGAUUCCCAAGAGUCCUUAUCGACGGGAUCGUUUGGCACCUCGAUGUCGGCUCAUCACAACCUGGAGCUGAAGAAGGUUCCAAAGGUUCGGCUGUUCGCCGAUUAAAGUGGUACGUGAGCUGGGUUCAGAACGUCGUGAGACAGUUCGGUCCCUAUCUACCGUAGGAUCUAAACAACUAGAAAUCAUUUUUAGUACGAGAGGACCAAAAUGGUUUGAUCAAUGGUGUACCAGUCGCUAAAAAAGCGUCGCUGGGUAGCUAAAUCAAAAAAAAUAAUUACUGAAAGCAUAUAAGUAAGAAAUUAUACUAAGUUGUUUAAAAUAAGUUCUAGAUUAGAACUUCCUUAGGUUAAUCGUGUAAAGUUUGUAAAAAAUAAGCGUAUUAAUACUAAUAAGAAUAAUAAACAAAUUGAUUUAGAAAA
rnacentral:rRNA from 1 species